GAUGAACGCUAGCGACAGGCUUAACACAUGCAAGUCGAGGGGCAGCAUAGAAGUAGCACUACUUUGGUGGCGACCGGCGCACGGGUGAGUAACGCGUAUGCAACCUACCUAUCAGAGGGGGAUAACCCGGCGAAAGUCGGACUAAUACCGCAUAAAACAGGGGCACCGCGUGGUGAUAUUUGUUAAAGAUUAAUUGCUGAUAGAUGGGCAUGCGUUCCGUUAGGUAGUUGGUGAGGUAAUGGCUCACCAAGCCGACGAUGGAUAGGGGAACUGAGAGGUUGGUCCCCCACACUGGUACUGAGACACGGACCAGACUCCUACGGGAGGCAGCAGUGAGGAAUAUUGGUCAAUGGGCGAGAGCCUGAACCAGCCAAGUCGCGUGAAGGAAGAAGGAUCUAUGGUUCGUAAACUUCUUUUGCAGGGGAAUAAAGUGGAGGACGUGUCCUCUUUUGUAUGUACCCUGAGAAUAAGGAUCGGCUAACUCCGUGCCAGCAGCCGCCGUAAGAC
rnacentral:rRNA from 1 species